rnacentral:rRNA from 1 species
UGCCAGCCGCCGCGGUAAUACGUAGGGACCUAGCGUAGUUCGGAAUUACUGGGCUUAAAGAGCUCGUAGGUGGUUAAAAAAGUUGAUGGUGAAAUCCCAAGGCUCAACCUUGGAACUGCCAUCAAAACUUUUUAGCUAGAGUGUGAUAGAGGUAAGUGGAAUUUCUAGUGUAGAGGUGAAAUUCGUAGAUAUUAGAAAGAACACCAGUGGCGAAGGCGGCUCACUGGCUCGAUACUGACGCUGAGGUACGAAAGUGUGGGGAGCAAACAGGAUUAGAUA